UAUAGCCAGUGGUCAGAUUUCUGAGUAUAUUGGGCGCAAAGGGUCUUUAAUGAUCGCCACCAUUCCUAAUGUCAUCGGCUAGCUUGCCAUAUCAUUUGCCAAACUGCUUUGUUUCUUCCGCAAUUUUUAGCUGGUGCCGAAUACGGAUUUGGUCAAAGGUCCUCAGCCCAUGGAAGUAGCUCAAGUGGAGCCGGCGAGUACAGUUGAUAAUCAGCCAGUGGAGGAGCCUCCAACAAUGAAAUUCACUUGGACAAUUGAGAGCUUUUCUAGGUUGCACACCAAAAAGCACUACUCUGACAUGUUCAUCGUCGGUGGUUAUAAAUGGCGGAUACUGAUUUUUCCUAAAGGAAACAAUGUGGACUACUUGUCAAUGUAUUUGGAUGUAGCGGAUUCGCAGGCUUUGCCUUAUGGUUGGAGUAGAUAUGUG